CUGAACUGUCGACACGAGUUGUCGCUGGUCCCCAAAUGGGGGCAUGUGCACACUCUGUUUACACACCCACUCACACCUGUGCACCCUCUGUAGUUCUGUGGUGUGGGGGACUCUGUCCUCCCACUGUGGUUCUACUUCUUUACACACACACAUAUUUAUAAAGUCUCAUGGAAUGUAUGUCGCGUUUAACGCAAUACAAUA
rnacentral:misc_RNA from 1 species